AUCUCGAGACACGUCAAGGAGAUUUUCUCGACAUCAACAAAAGCGUGCUACAACACGUCUGAUGGAUUCCCAAGAGAGAAGGGAGAUGAGCCUUUCUCAAGAUCACCAAAGGCAUUCUGCAGCACGUCAAAUGGAGUUUCAAUAAAGAAGGGAGAGGAGACUUUCCCGCGAUCAGAAAAGGCAUUCUGCAGCACGUCAAAUGGAGUCUCAAGAGAGAAGGGAGAGGAGACUUUCUCAAGAUCACCAAAGGCAUUCUGCAGCACGUCAAA